CGGAGCUAACGCGUUAAGUAGACCGCCUGGGGAGUACGGUCGCAAGAUUAAAACUCAAAUGAAUUGACGGGGGCCCGCACAAGCGGUGGAGCAUGUGGUUUAAUUCGAUGCAACGCGAAGAACCUUACCUACUCUUGACAUCCAGAGAAGCCAGCGGAGACGCAGGUGUGCCUUCGGGAGCUCUGAGACAGGUGCUGCAUGGCUGUCGUCAGCUCGUGUUGUGAAAUGUUGGGUUAAGUCCCGCAACGAGCGCAACCCUUAUCCUUGUUUGCCAGCGAGUAAUGUCGGGAACUCCAGGGAGACUGCCGGUGAUAAACCGGAGGAAGGUGGGGACGACGUCAAGUCAUCAUGGCCCUUACGAGUAGGGCUACACACGUGCUACAAUGGCGCAUACAGAGGGCAGCAAGCUAGCGAUAGUGAGCGAAUCCCAAAAAGUGCGUCGUAGUCCGGAUUGGAGUCUGCAACUCGACUCCAUGAAGUCGGAAUCGCUAGUAAUCGUGAAUCAGAAUGUCACGGUGAAUACGUUCCCGGGCCUUGUACACACCGCCCGUCACACCAUGGGAGUGGGCUGCAAAAGAAGUGGGUAG
rnacentral:rRNA from 1 species